AAUGACUAGUGCAUUAUGAUUUAUGAAAAUAAAAUAACUUGGGUCAAAGUCGCAAUCUUAGCAGCUGGCGACGGUUCCAGUUGCAAAAAACCGCUGGUGGGUAGCAGUAAGGCUGCCAGUGGGAUGAAUAAGUUCUAUCACAGUCGACAAAACAGAGCUCGAUCUUCUACGCAGAAAAUAAGCAUCGUUUUCUCAUGACAAAUGUCAUCAGCGCAACAGGUCAGAGUGGUCGGAGCUUUCUCACAUACUUUACACAGAAUCUUCAUCUUCUGCAACACAAAUCAGAUACACGGGUUGACGACGGCACAUGUUGAGUUAAUCGAAAUCCCCUCUUGAUGCCUUAACCAUGGAACGUAGAACGAUUGUUCAAAAAAAAAAAAAAAAAGAGAAGACAUGAGGGAUGAAGAGAAGAAGCUAGGAAGCAUGUGAAAUGUCAGGACACCAUCGUGAUGACACUUGGAUAGCAUAUAUAUAGGGGGCGUGUUGUUAUGUGUUAAGGAAUGAUCCUGUGGAUGAGGAUGCAGAUGUUGGUCGGAAUGAGCCCCCUGUUUCAAGCUAUACGCCAGCUGGACAAGAAAAUGGAACAAGCAAGAAAAGUGACAUAGGGACGAUAUCAAGAACCUCAAGUGCUAGACUCUCUUGUCAUGAACAAGUUGAGAAAUUAAUAGUUUUGCUCUUAAACAGGGGAUGCAGAGCAACAAUCAUGUUGGGUUAUAAUGCUAGAGGAAUUUGCCAAGGAAGCUCGACAUUGUUUUAGAGAAAUAGAGGGGGAACGAGAAAAGAUAGUUAACUCUCUCUAUCCAACACCAGAUCGACUAGGGCUAACCUCUUGGUACCAUUUUUAAACCUGUUUAAUCACAUUUACAACUUGAUUACUACAGUCAAACUUUUUAAUUAAACUGUCAAAACGGGUUAAUGUGGGGGUAGAUACCCAGAACCAUUACCUAUCUGAUGUCCAGAUGCUUGAAGCAGGUUUCGAGUUUAACUUGGUUGACCGGACCUCGGGCUUACGAUUUAUAUAAAUUUACCUUAUAUUAUGUAAUUUCUUCCUCAUUUAUAUAUAUAGAAAAA